ensembl:snRNA U6 U6 spliceosomal RNA
GUGCUCACUUCAGCAGCACACACACUAAAAUUGGGACGACACAGAGAAGAUUAGCACGGCCCCUGCACAAGGAUGACACACAAAUUCCUGAAGCUUCCAUAUUUAAA